rnacentral:sRNA from 1 species
UUCAUCGUCAGCCGUCGCUCAUCUGUCGCUUUCACUGUCCCUCUCUCCAUAGUAACGAAUUACCUAAAAAUCGUUCUCGAUUAACUGGAGACAGAAGAUGGAAAUCAAAUCACGAAAGUGAAUUUUUUGAAGAGAUCAUCGACGUACUUACCUCAAUAUCGGAAAGGAUCAUCGGCGAUCCUCUCUAUAAGAACAAAGAACUUGAAAGAUUUAGGGUUUUUUUCUGUUUGGAAGAAGAAGAAGGAGCGUGCAGAAAUUUUGAUUUCUCAUGAAAGAAGAGAUGCGUGAGCCGACCCUUAACCGUUCUCGAUUAACCGGAGACAGAAGAUGGAGAUCAAAUCACGAAACAAGAUGCUUUCCUCCGAUCAAAUCUUACGGAUAGAUAUUGAGAUGAAGAAUGAAGUUAUUGAGAUCAUCAGCUUAUGUCAAUAUCGGAAGGAUCAUCGGCGAUUCUCUCUAUAAGAACAUAGAACUUGAAAAAAUUAGGGUUUUUUCUGUUUGGAAGAAGAAAAAGGAGCGUGCAUAAAUUUUUGAUUUCUUAAUGAAAGAAGAGAUGACGGUUAUCUUUCGACUGAUUUCCUUUUUUUGUUCUU